rnacentral:rRNA from 1 species
UAAGGUAGCAUAAUCAUUUGUCUUUUAAAUGAAGACACGAACAAAAGAUUUAACAUUUUAAUAAAUAUUUUUUAUCAAUUUAAUUCAAAUUAUCUUAAAAGUAAAAAGACUUUUAUUCUUWAGAAAGACGACAAGACCCUAUUGAACUUAACUCAAGUUCAGCUGGGGCAGCUAUUAAAUUAUUACUUUUAACAUAAAAUACUUACACAAUCAGAUCUAAUUAAAUUAACUAUCUAAUCAAGUUACCAUAGGGAUAACAGCGUAAUAUACUUUUAAAGUUCUUAUAAAAAUAUAAGAUUACGACCUC